GGAGCUAACUGCGCUGCAUUUGGAUAACCCGACUAUUAGUAGCCACUUUAAAAGGAAUUGGGUUCAGGUUCCUGCAGGAUGUCGUACCCUCCUCCUCCUCUCAAUCAGCAGUUUGGCAUCCCACAGUUACCUCCCAGGAUCCCUCCUCCUCCGUUUGCUGGGUUUGCGACGACAGUGCCUCCAGGAACGCCAAUGAUCCCCGUUCACAUGGGUGUAGUGGCCCCCGCUCCCACAGUUCUUGUCCCUACCACAGUUUCAGUUGCACAGAAGCCAGUAACAACAAAGGAGUCUGGCACAAUCAGAACCAAGGUUGCUGAUAACAGCAGUGGCCCUAUCACCACUGUGUUUGUCGGAAACAUCUCUGAAAAGGCAUCUGACAUGUUGGUCAGACAGCUGCUAGCCAAAUGUGGUAUUGUUGUAAGCUGGAAGAGGGUUCAAGGUGCCUCUGGGAAGCUUCAAGCAUUUGGGUUUUGUGAGUAUAAGGAGCCUGAUUCCACACUACGAGCCCUCAGACUUCUGCAUGAGUUAUUAUUAGGUGACAAGAAGCUGUUGGUGAAAGUAGACGCCAAGACCAAGGCCCACUUAGAUGAAUGGAAAGCCAAGAGGAAGAGUACCACUGGGGGAGCCAUUGGGGAGUUAAAGAAUGGUGAGGAAGAUGAGGAGGAAGUUCUUGAUGAAGAAACUCUACGCCGGGACCAGAUUGUGAAGGGUGCAAUAGAUAUCCUCAUUCGAGAGUAUGCAAGUGAUCUCACUGCACCAUCACUGGACCCUGACAGUCAACCACGCAAGAAGCGCAGAGAGAAGAAAGAAGAGGACAUCAAUGCCAUGGAGAUGGAGGAUGACAAGAGGGACUUGAUUUCCAGAGAGAUCAGUAAAUUUCGAGACAUACACAAGAAACUUGAAGAAGAAAAAGGAAAGAAAGAAAAGGAGCAUCUGGAACUCGAGAAGGAAAGGAGAGAACGGGACAAGGAGCGAGAACGUGAGCGGGAACGGCGCGAUCGUGAAAAAGAGAAGGAAAGGGAGAGGGACAAGGAGCGGGAACGAGAUCGUGAAAGGGAACGAGAAAAAGACCGCAAAAGGGAGAGAACCAAGGAGCAUGAGAGGGAGAGAAGUCGUGAUGUCAGUGACGCCCGCAGCCGAUCGAAAGAGAGGACCAGGGAUGAUAAAAAACGAGACCGUGAAGAAAAUGAGGAAGAUGUUUAUGAGCGGCGGAGGCUUGAGAGGAGGCUUCGGGACAAAGAAGCUGCUUACCAGGAGCGCCUCAAAAACUGGGAGAUCCGAGAGAGGAAGAAGGCACGAGACUACAGCAAAGAAAUGGACCGGGAGGAUGAGAGGCAUCGUGAAAUGAUGAAAGAAGCCAGAAGACUGAAAGAAUUCCUUGAAGAUUAUGAUGACGACAGAGAUGACCCAAAAUUCUACAGGGGCAGUGCAUUGCAGAAGAGACUGCGAGAUAGAGACAAGGAGACAGAGUUGGAUGAGCGAGACCGGAAAAGGGAGAAGGAGGAGCUGGAAGAGAUCAGACAGCGACUUCUUGCUGAGGGUCACCCUAACCCGGACGCUGAGCUGCAGAGGAUGGAGGAGGAGGCAGAGCGCAGACGACAACCCCCUUUGAAACUUGAGGCAGAGAAGGGUGCGACCCAGGAGAAACCCCACAGAGAUCGAGAUCGUGAGAAGAGGGCUUCAGGAGAUCGGGAUCGUGAGAAGAGGGCUUCAGGAGAUCGUGAGAAGAGGGCUUCAGGAAGACCCAAGGAGCCAUCACCCCAAAUCCCUCAGGACCACUCAGAUGAAGUGGAAGAAAUGGAGAAUGAUGACUUCCACAAUGGCAAGGACUCACAAGAAACCAAGCCACACCUCAAGCCCAUUAUGCGACCAAUCGCGAGCCCUCCCUCCGUGUCCUCUGCCAGUGGGAACGCAACUCCCAACACACCUGGCAACAUGUCCCCCUGUGGCAUCAUCAUUCCAGGCGAGGGUACCCCUGAAAACCAACCCCCUGAGGAACACCGGCCAAAGAUAGGCCUCAGUCUCAAAUUAGGUGCUACAAAUAGUCCAAGCCAGCCAAAUGCUGGAAAGUGCAAGAAGUUGGCAGCCGUAGAUAGUGUUUUCAACAGGUUUGAUGAUGAGGAGGAGGCUGAUGAGGAGCCUCGCAAAAGGAAGCUGGUUCCAUUAGACUAUGGUGAUGAUGACAAAAGUAUGGGGCUGGAUGGGGCAGAACUUUCAGGGGCCAAAGGCAGUGUUAACACAGAGGAGAAACGAAAACACAUUAAGACUCUAAUUGAGAAGAUUCCCACUGGCAGGCCUGAGCUCUUUUCCUAUCCUCUGGACUGGGUGAUGGUUGAUUCGAGUCUAAUGGAUCGUCGCAUUAGACCAUGGAUCAACAAGAAGAUUAUUGAAUACAUCGGUGAAGAAGAACCAACUCUAGUUGAUUUUGUCUGUUCAAAGAUUAUGGCACAUAGCACCCCUCAGGGUAUUCUUGAUGAUGUUGCUAUGGUAAGUUGAAAUUGGACUUUGUCAACUGUUAGAGAGACCUGGAAUAACUACCAAACUUUGGAAGCAUAUGCAGGUAGUUUGGGAAUAGGCAACCGGUCUGGGAGCUGUAUGUUAUUGCAUGCCCUACUCCUGGGAACCGCGCCAGGUUCUGCAAAGCCCCAUCAAGGCAGACAACCAGUCCACCCCCACUUCUCAAAAGCAGCUAUCUGCUGCAGCCAGGUGAGAUGUGGGCAUCCCCAUCACUCUUUCCAGUUGUUGAUGUCCUCAGCAGCCGUGUGCUGGUUCAAGCCUGGAGAAAUGUGCCAAAUCUCACAGCUAACAUACCCUCAGUAUGCAAGAGAUACACCUCAUAAGUACCUGCCUUAGGUUGCUGCCUUUCAUCACUGCUUAAUGAUAGAGCUAUACAUUAAGACAGGAAGCACCCGGAUUCUAAAGACUUGGACCUUCAUUAUCCUGCAUAGGUAUCACCAUUGCCAAACACCUCUGUCCAUGACUCCAUGACACCAUCGGGCAUCUCUCUGCCUCAAAGGCUGAAGACACAGAGAAUGAAUGUCAGUGCUGAGGUACAUGAAUCUCUCUACAAUACAGGAAAUACUCGAAAGCCUAACUCUUUCUCGAUCCAGCAC